AUGCCACAGUCAUAAUUUCCUGUAGCAGUCUCCCCAGAAGUAUCUUUCUUGAAGAACUUCUCUGAGAUGUGAGAGGGCAUCAUGAUUUUUCAUGUGACAGAAGACAUCUGAUAGCUCCCAAGAUCAGGGCCAAAUCUGCUGUUUAGUCUGUGGGUAAGCAGUAGAGAAGAAGAGCUGAAACCUCUGUCUGCACAUCCUGGGGCUGAUUUGGCACAAAACAUCACAUCCUCCUUGCUGGAAUAAAUGGCUCUAAAUUAUCAGAAGUGUAAAUGCAUGACCACACAAGAGACAAGAAAGUUAGCUCUGGCCCUCUGAGUGUAGAAGUCUCAGUUCAGUAUCCCAGUAGACAGACACUAAAGGACAUGAAGUGUGGAAGUUCAAAACAAAAGUUAAUAAAAGUUUAUUGCAACCUUU